rnacentral:misc_RNA from 1 species
GUAGGUGAACCUGCGGAAGGAUCAUUAUUGAAUACUGAAUCGGUUCUGAUGCUGGCUCUUUACUGGGCAUGUGCUCGUCCGUUCAUAUUUACCUUCUCUUGUGCACAUUUUGUAGUCCUUUGGAACAAGUGAAUUUCGCGCUGCUGUGAUUGACUUCGCGGUGGUUGCGGUUUGGGGGAUUGGGGGUAACAGCCCUUCCUCUGUUUAUGCGCGUUGCUGCGAUUUACUUCGUGGUGACUGCGGUUUGGGGGUUGAGCGUCAGCCCUUCCCCUGCUUUUGCUUUUUUCAAGGCUACGUUUUCAUAUACCCUAUACAAUGUUACAGAAUGUCUUUAAAGAUUGUGCUUGGUCGCAGUCAUUAAACCUAUACAACUUUCAGCAACGGAUCUCUUGGCUCUC